rnacentral:rRNA from 1 species
CCUACGGGUGGCAGCAGUGAGGAAUAUUGGUCAAUGGGCGCGAGCCUGAACCAGCCAAGUAGCGUGAAUGAUGACUGCCCUACGGGUUGUAAACUUCUUUUAUAAAGGAAUAAAUUAAUGCACUUGUGCCUUUUUCUAUGUACUUUUUGAAUAAGGAUCGGCUAAUUCCGUGCCAGCAGCCGCGGUAAUACGGAGGAUCCGAGCGUUAUCCGGAUUUAUUGGGUUUAAAGGGUGCGUAGAUGGGUUGUUAAGUCAGUUGUGAAAGUUUGCGGCUCAACUGUAAAAUUGCAAUUGAUACUGGCAGCCUUGAGUACAGUUGAGGUAGGCGGAAUUCGUGGUGUAGCGGUGAAAUGCUUAGAUAUCACGAAGAACAUCGAUUGCGAAGGCAGCUUACUAAACUGCCACUGACAUUGAUGCUCGAAAGUGUGGGUAUCAAACAGGAUUAGAUACCCUAGUAGUC